GAUGGCGUUUUCGACAGAAUUCUAAAGCAAGCGAAAGCCGUGGAAGCUCUUAAAUCGAGUUCUACGCCAUUCAGCCGGUCCUUCGACGAACCACCAUCGAAGGUGCCUCGUUGGGAACAGCCAACCAGCCGUUCUGGUGGAAGAGGUCGGGCCCCUUCCGCAGCCGGGCCACAGCCCUUUCGACAACGCCCCUCACUUCGCAGCUCGGGAGCGAGGGGUGCGGCAGCAGAGCCUGGCUACCGCAACAGAUAAAUAAUGAUGCACCUCCCAGCAUAUGGACGCUGACUUUCCUCUGUGGGCAAGUUGAAUGGUUGAACGUGGUUGAACGUUUUGGACUUUGAGGAGUUUUCUGGAUAGUAUCUCGGGUGACAAAUAAAUGUUGGCUCAGUA